AUCACGACACCUGAAGCAGCUGCUCGCAGAUUCAGGAGGAUAAUUUUCAGUCUGAUACACAGACUGAUGAAGAAAGACAUCAGCUUCUCCAGGCAUUUCUUCAUUCUGAUAAAAACAGCAACAAGGUUCCGGAGGGCUAAACUAAGUCCGAAAGAUGAAGCUGCAUAUUUUUCAUCCAUGUUUAAAGAUAAAGAUGGAUUUGAAUUAAAAUACAUAAAUUUAUUUAAAGGUCGAGGAGUCUUCAGCUGUCGCCACUUUCAAAAGGGAGAUUUUCUUGUUGAAUAUCGAGGGGAUGUCGUUACUAAACAAGAAUCUGAAAGAAGGCACAGAC